rnacentral:tRNA from 1 species
UCCUACUUAACUCAGUGGUUAAAAAAUUGCUUUUAUAUGGCAAGAGUCAUUGGUUCAAAUCCAAUAGUAGAUA